AACUAAUAGGAUUCCCUUAGUAAUGGCGAAUGAACAGGGAUCAGCUCAGUAUGGAAAUCGGGGCUUCCCAGCCUUGAAUUGUAGUCUCAAGAGGUAUCGCCAACGGAGGCGCAGAUGUAAGCCUCUUGGAAAAGAGCAUCAAUGAGGGUGAGAAUCCCGUUUGUCAUCUGCAGUCCCCCGUGCACGGUGUAUCUUCUAAGAGUCGCGUUCCUCGGGAUUGGAGCGUAAAGUGGGUGGUAAAUUUCAUCUAAGGCUAAAUAUGGGUUCGAGACCGAUAGCAAACAAGUACCAUGAGGGAAAGAUGAAAAGGACUUUGAAAAGAGAGUUAAAAGUGCCUGAAAUUGCUGAAAGGGAAGCGAAUGGAACCAGUGCUCUUGGCGAGAUUGUUGUGCGCUAUGGUGAUUGCUGGCUGCUUCAGCGCAAGCGGGGUAGUUGGUACUGAGCCUGCCGCGCGCAGUGUUUCUUACCUUGUGCGUCACCGUCGGUUCACAGGCGAGGAUACUUCUGAGGACAUGGUAACUCUUCCACGGAGGUGUGAAUGUCUUUGGUAAUACUCGUUUGUAGACCGCUCACCUUCGGGUUACGAUGACUAAAUGGUUCUAUUCGACCCGUCUUGAAACACGGGACCAAGGA
rnacentral:sRNA from 1 species